rnacentral:misc_RNA from 1 species
AAGUCGUAACAAGGUCUCCGUAGGUGAACCUGCGGAGGGAUCAUUAACACGUUUCCAAAAAACGUUUAUCAACCAAAUCAACGUGAACCAGUAACAACUCCCUUGUCAGUGUGACGAACGAAUAAUCAUCAGGGUGGAGGACAGCUUUCGGGCUGGACUAUGACUCGUUCUAGGGGCCCUUUGAGGCUCCAAUCCGCUGGCAAGUGUCUUUGCGACCACCUGGCAGUCUACAUUCGUGUAGCGUUCUGCCGAAUUUGUUUAACCCAAUUUUUUAACCCCUUUCACAACAUACUAAUAACUGAACCAUUUUUUUCUAUAUAUCCGUCCUUUGUGAUGUGAUGUAUGAAAAAAGAUAUACGUAAUGCUGAACAACUCUUAGCAAUGGAUAUCUUGGUUCUCGUAACGAUGAAAAACGCAGC